rnacentral:rRNA from 1 species
UACAGAGGUCCCAAGCGUUGUUUGGAUUCACUGGGCGUAAAGGGUGCGUAGGCGGUCGGGUAAGUCUGAUGUGAAAUCUCACAGCUUAACUGUGAAACUGCAUUGGAUACUAUCCGGCUAGAGGAGUGGAGAGGAGCUUGGAAUUCUCGGUGUAGCAGUGAAAUGCGUAGAUUUCGAGAAGAACGCUCGCUGCGAAAGCGAAGCUCUGGCCAGAUUCUGACGCUGAGGCACGAAGGCUAGGGGAGCAAACGGG